AUUGAACGCUGGCGGUAGGCCUAACACAUGCAAGUCGAACGGCAGCACAGUAAGAGCUUGCUCUUACGGGUGGCGAGUGGCGUACGGGUGAGGAAUACAUCGGAAUCUACUUUUUCGUGGGGGAUAACGUAGGGAAACUUACUCUAAUACCGCAUACGACCUACGGGUGAAAGCAGGGGAUCUUCGGACCUUGCGCGAUUGAAUGAGCCGAUGUCGGAUUAGCUAGUUGGCGGGGUAAAGGCCCACCAAGGCGACGAUCCGUAGCUGGUCUGAGUGGAUGAUCGGCCACACUGGAACUGAGACACGGUCCAGACUCCUACGGGAGGCAGCAGUGGGGAAUAUUGGACAAUGGGCGCAAGCCUGAUCCAGCCAUACCGCGUGGGUGAAGAAGGCCUUCGGGUUGUAAAGCCCUUUUGUUGGGAAAGAAAAGCAGCAGGUUAAUACCCCGCUGUUCUGACGGUACCCAAAGAAUAAGCACCGGCUAACUUCGUG
rnacentral:rRNA from 1 species